CUCUGGGAUGGAUGGAAAGACAGAUGGACAGAAGGACAGACAGAACGAUGGGGAUGGGGGACACUUAUGAACUGGACGUUAGGUCCCAGGGCCGGCUCCCAAGUUCUCUAACUGGGAGCAAUGGCUGUAGGCAUCAGCAUCUUCCGUGUGUCAGCACUUUUUAAAUUUUUCUGCCACUGUCCCUUCCUUCCGUGUGCCCCUGAGUGGGUUCGGGAAGGUCUUGGGAAGGGGGCAGGAUUCUGGGGUCCCCUGCUGGGUUUCCCUGCUCUGGGAGCACGGACAACUGAGGUUUCUGAGCAGCAGUCUUUGCUUCUGCACCCUAGCCCUUAGCACAAUGCCCAGCACACAGCAGGCACUCAAUAGAUGCACUGAAUGGACGAACAAUUGCACACUGACUCUGAAGGCCCUGUCUACUCCGGAGGAGCCAGGCUCCAGGAGGUCAGGUGACCUGUGUCAAAGGCCGAGCCAGGGCUGCACUUCCAGGCCAGGGCAGUCCAGCGGGAACAGGAGGAAAGCCCCAAACAUGACUCUCAAUCUUAUAAAGGGCAAAGAAAUGGGUGAUAUUAAUCUCAAAACUACAUUUUAUUAACCUCAGAUAGCCAAGAUAUUAUUUCAACAUGUCAUCUCUCUUUUAAAAUUAUGAAGAGGUGGCAGGAGGGAGAUGCCUGUGGUGAGGGCUGGUUCUGUUCUUGGACUGUGGUGGUGGUUACACGGAUCCACACGUGUGACGAAAGCACACGGAGUUAUCACACACACACACAUGCAGUUUCCUGGUUUUGAUACUGCACGAUAAUUAUGUAAGAUGUCACUACAUCUUUGGGCCUCUGGGUACUGCCUUUGAACUUCCUGUAAACAUUUAAUUAUUUCAAAAUGAAGCUUAAAAAAUUUGAGAUAUUUUACAGUUGAAAAUAAUCUUUUAACUUAAAAAAAUUAAAAAAUACAGCCAAGUCUCUGAACUUUGUGUGUUGCACUCAUAGCACAUCUCAGUUUGGACCAGUUCAAGUGCUGGGUGGCCACACGCGGCCCGUGGCUGCUGCGUGGGACGGCACGGGCUUCUGCCCCUGUUCCCCGGGACAGCAUGCCUGGAGGCCUGUUGUGUCUCUCCCGCUUACUGGUUGUCUGGUAGAUAAGUUGCUUAUUUUACGUUAGAUAAGUGACUGGCUUCCCCUGAGCCUAUUUUCCUUAUCUGUAGAGUGGGACUAAUAAUGGUGCUCAUCCUACCCAACUGCGUGAUGGUUAAGGGAGAUGCUGCAUGUUGGGCACUUGGUUGUGGCCUGGCCAUAAUUCACUGGAAGCUGACAUUUACCAGUAUUGCCAUUUGGAGAUGAAAAAUAGCAGUUCCGUCUGCUUCUCCUAACUUUACACGACCUCCUGCCUCUCGCUGCCGGUCUUCUCCAAGCAAUAGACUCCUGAGCAUCUCUUGGUUUAACCAUAGGAUCUCCCCUCCCCGGACGCCGUGUCUUUGGCACCUGACUCUGGUUGCUGGAGACACCCUGUCCCUCCCACAAAGGUAGCGAGCUGGCUCCUGCAGGCUCGGAGGCCAGACCUUCUGCAAAGAUCCCUACAGAGCCUCUUUUGAAACUGAGGACUUCCUUUAU
rnacentral:lncRNA from 1 species